AUACUUACCCGGCAGGGGAGAUACCAGAAUCAUGAAGGUCAUUUUCCCCCACUGGGGCUUAUCCAUUGCACUCUGGAUGUGCUGACCCCUGCAAUUUCUCCAAAUGUAGGAAACUACAUAAUUUGUGGUUGUGCAGGACUACAUUUGCAAUUCCCCU